AGCAGCAGCCGCGGUAAUACGUAGGUGGCAAGCGUUGUCCGGAAUUAUUGGGCGUAAAGGGCUCGCAGGCGGUUUCUUAAGUCUGAUGUGAAAGCCCCCGGCUCAACCGGGGAGGGUCAUCGGAAACUGGGAAACUUGAGUGCAGAAGAGGAGAGUGGAAUUCCACGUGUAGCGGUGAAAUGCGUAGAGGUGUGGAGGAACACCAGUGGCGAAGGCGACUCUCUGGUCUGUAACUGACGCUGAGGAGCGAAAGCGUGGGGAGCGAACAGGAUUAGAUACCCCAGUAGUCCCUGUCUCUUAUAC
rnacentral:rRNA from 1 species